rnacentral:lncRNA from 12 species
UUUUCUGACAACAAAAAUUGAUGGAUGGACAUACCCUAAGUAAUGGAACUUCUAAGAAAUAUACGUUAGAGAGAAGGAAAAUGAUCUUGGAAGGUAUGAGAUGCCAGAAGUAGACUAUACAUCAAAGGCACAAGUGAAAGAGUUAACAAGUGAAACUUGGUUCUGAGAAAACAACCAGCUGAAUGCCUAACACCAUGAAAAUCAUUCAUGAGCACCUGAAGAUUGGGAAGAAAAACACAUGUAGGGGAGCAAUGGGAAAUUAGAUUGGGACCAGAAUUUGAAAGGUUUACCAGCCAAAGGUGUUUGGGCUUUAUCCUCCUGGCAGAAGGAAGAUAUUGAGUUUUUUUUAAUUAAAAAAGGAUAACAUGGGAUGUCUGGAGUAGGAUCAAGCAGGUGGCACCAGUGAGGUAAGGAGGCUGGGUUUGAGAUAAUAGUGGUGGCCUUAUCUUCUCUGAACAUGCCACAAGAUACAGCACAUUGCCUGGCUUUCAGAGGGUGGGGCAGACAACCUGGCGAGAAAUUAGCUCCCUUCUUCUCCCUCCUCCAAGUCUCUCAUUCUUGAAGAACUGGAGAAAUUGUUUUCUCCUUUCACCCUCUCAAGAUUGCAGUAUCCUAGGGAUUUGGGUUUCCCUUGCCCAGCCUCUAGUAGAUGGCCUCCUAAAGAAGCUGACACCUAUGCCCAAUUCCCCUAAAAUGCCCUAGAAGGUGAAGAACCUUCUAUAGCAAUGCCUGAAGAUGGCCAGGUACUGACCACUAAAUGCCACAGCCGGGCAGGAAGUUGGAGGUCCUGUGGUCAAGACCAAUGCUGAGCGCCUGUGUGUGAUGAGGGCAUCUCUGUGGGCUCUGGAGCAGUGGAUGUCCAGAACCAGACAUAGAGACAUAGUUCCUGUGAGCAUCUGUCUGGUGCCUGGGCUUGGGAGUUAAGUCUGUUGUAGAGAACAUCUAGCCACUAUACCAAGAAGGGCCUCCAUGUUUACUGCUGACCAUGAGCUCACCCACAGGUACAAAACUUAUAUAUGCUCAUUGGAGAAGAGGAAGAAGAAGGAGGAGGAGGAAGAGGAAGAAGAAGAAGAUGAGGAUGAUGAAAGAGAGGAAGGAAGGAAGGAAGGAAGGAAGGAAGGAAGGAAGGAAGGAAAAGGAAGGAAGAAAAAGAAAGGAAGGAUGAAAGAGAAGGAAAGAAGGAAAAGAAAUUCUAGCUUUGAGAAUCUUGGAUGGCUCAUCCAGAUACUGCCAAUCCCUGGGCUGGUCAGUGGCCUUUGACCUGUGUAGCCUGGCUCAGAAAAAUGAAUGAGAUCAGUCACAUUCUCCCUCUCAGGAAUGUGGCCUCUAAAACUCAGAAGGAAGUAGUACUUGUGAAGAAACUGAUCCCAUUUGGACUGUAUGGUGCUGUCCAGACCCUCGUCUAGGAUGGCAGCACCUAUGGUCCCCAGCUGCAGCCUUCGUGUUGCACAUGAGGACAACUCUGAGACCAACACAAUUCCAAAGCUCCUCGCAGGGCUGGCUGAAGCCUUUGUUGAGGCUGCUCUGCUGCUCAAUUUCUCCCCCUACCCACUCCUCCUUCUCCCUUCGCCCCCACACCCCCAUGGACAUUAGCCAUGUCCAUGAUAAGCUUUCUGCUCACUAAUCUUCACCUCAGAGUCUGUUUCUAGGGGGACCAACCUGCCACAGGGUAGGAAGAAAGGAUGAUGCGUGGAAUCAGGUGUGUCUGGCACAGGCCCUUUCCUCCUGGCCUGAGUCCUGUUAUCUUUACAUCCCACGUUCCCUGGCUUCUGUCCUCCUGGAGAUUUGCUUACCUGAUACUCCAAAGGACAAAGGAUAAGUUUCGCAGAGAUGUAAGGCCAGAUUUAGUAAUAUCUAGCUGAGCCUUAGUUUCUUCAUCUGUAAAAGGAGCCUUUGCCAGGGCCGCUCCACCCAUUGUGUCUUUCCCUCCACACUUCAUCCAGAGCAUUCGCCAGUGCCAUGGGGGUGAUACAGCAGGAGAUGGGUUCCUAUUGGGUUGCAUUUCACUGAGGAUAAUAGGAUAAACAGCUGCUUUCACAAUUAGCCUUUUCAUGAAAAUGACGUGAGAUCAUUGUUGCUGUUUGAAGCACUUCAACAGGGUGGGGUUUCUGAAGCCCCAUUUUAAUUAAAUAGUGCCCUCCCCACCCUGGCCCAACAUAAAACCUCCAGAGUUUCGACCAUCAAACAGAGUCCAGAUCUGUAAGCCUAAUCUAGGAUCCUGUGAUUUGUCAGAACCUUGUCCUCUGUUACAUGGCAUCAGGCACUCAUACCCAUGACUCCCUAGACAUUCCUGCCUCUGCACCUUUGCCUAUACUGACCCUGGCUGCUGAGGCCGGGCUCACAUAACCGGUCUUCUACAAAGUCAUUUGAGAACACCCAAGUCAAAAGCAUUUUGUUUGUAUGCUGAUGAUAACAUUUGCUAUUAGCUGCCUUGUGUUAAGGGUCAACUAGGUUAACUAGCUACAAUGCUUCUUUAGUUUAAAAAAAAAAAAAAGGCACCUGGGAGGCUCAGUGGUUGAGCAUCUGCCUUCAGCUCAGGUCAUGAUCCUAGGGUCCUGUGAUCGAGUUCCGCAUCAGGCUCCCUGCGAGGAGCCUGAUUCUCCCUCUGCCUAUGUCUCUGCCUCUCUCUCUCUGUGUCUCUCAUGAAUAAAUAAAUAAAGGCUUAAGAAAAAAAAGAGCUG